UAUCCGUAGGUGAACCUGCGGAUGGAUCAUUAUUGAAGCUUCAUCCGGACCGCCUCUGCCCUGAUCACCCUUUCAUAGGCAGUGCUGGGGGGGCCGCGAGUGCACUCGUCCAAAACAAACCCCAGUGAACCUUACAACUGACUCAGGGUACUCGCCUGAUACUGUUCCGCGAUAUACAUACACAAAGGAACGCAUGGACUGAACGCCGUCUGAGAACUGAAUAACACAGUAAAACAACCGUCAACAACGCAGCUCUUGGCUCUCGCAUCGUUUAAGAAC
rnacentral:misc_RNA from 1 species